rnacentral:rRNA from 1 species
UACGUAGGGGGCAAGCGUUGUCCGGAUUUAUUGGGCGUAAAGAGCGUGUAGGCGGCUUUACAGGUCCGUUGUGAAAACUCGAGGCUCAACCUCGAGACGCCGGUGGAAACCGUAAAGCUAGAGUCCGGAAGAGGAGAGUGGAAUUCCUGGUGUAGCGGUGAAAUGCGCAGAUAUCAGGAGGAACACCCGUGGCGAAAGCGGCUCUCUGGGCCUUACCUGACGCUGAGACGCGAAAGCGUGGGGAGCGAACCGG